rnacentral:tRNA from 1 species
GAGGGUGUAGCUCAGUGGGAGAGCGCGUGCUUAGCAUGCACAAGGCCCUGGGUUCCAUCCCCAGUACCUCCA